rnacentral:misc_RNA from 1 species
UCCUUGACAACGAAAGGAAAAUGGCACGCUACUAUAGAGUCGAAGUAUUUGUGAUCUUCGAGAUCUAUUUAAAUAUUUGCACGUAAAUCGCUUUAGGAAAAGCGUAAUCGUAUUUCAAGAACGUAUUAAAAUGUUGCGAAAUGUGUUACAUUUCAUAUCUGGAAACAGUUGUCUGUGCUCGCCGGUCGAGGAUACAAGUUUGAAUUGAAUACUGCAUAUUUCUUCAUGGUAUAUAGAGAAAUGGGAUAGGCGGCAUGCCUAGCUGAAUAAUUUGCUCUGAGAAUAUGGAAGGCAGCCAACAAUUUCAAAGUAUGCUGGAUAAUGUUUUGUUGAAAAGAGGAAUAGUAUCUCUGACAGGUUCAAAAGAUGCCGUUGGAUGCCAUGUUAUAUCAUUUCAAACUCAGCAACAGUUGCUGUUUACACAAAUUGGUCAUUCAAGUUUGACUGAAUUACUUCAUAUUGUUGUGACAUAUUAUGAAAGUGCGUUGGUGUCAUUCUUGGUGAAUAUGAGUCACUCCACUCCAUUGUUUAUUGAUAAAUUUAUUCAUGUUAUUCAUCAACUUGAGGGAGUGAUGUCCGAAAGGAGGAUAAAAAGGGUAUACGUGAUUAGGCCGGAACGAAAACCAAUCCGAAAACAUUUCUUAAAAGAGUUGGGUAACAUCAACAACGAAAAUACAAGAAAUAAUGCUCAGGUUAUUGUCGUGAAGUCAUUUGAAGAACUAUAUCAAUAUAUAAAACAACGUGACUUGACCCUUGAAUAUGGUGGAACAUUGCAACAUGACCACAAUGCCUGGUUGGCCGUACAAAAGACUUUAAUACAGUUCUAUCUUCUGGUAAAUAAUCUUGCGAAAACGUCGGCUGACGUCACAAAUAGAAUACGCGACCUUACAUCAGGAGGGUUUGGAACUAAAGCCUCGGAAAGGUCUACGGAGAAUGCACAAAAAAAACGAGUCCGAAAAGCUGAAAAGAAGAAGAAUGAAAUUUUGAGGCAGUACAACGUUACUUAUGCGCUGGAAAACGGCCAAAAAUUACAAUCGUAUUUUGAAAAUCCAAAGUUGGAGGAAAAUUUUCAAACCCUGUCCAAAUCACCUGUUUUUCAACGAGACAAAGCAGUAUUUCAGCAGUACUACCGCAAGCUGUUGGCUUUGCGUGAUGGUUUUGAGCAUGCGUGGAAAGAAGCUGUGGGUAAAUUGAGGUCAUUCGCACCCGAACAAGAAUUGUAUAACCGCCUUAUUGAGUGUUGUACGUGGAUUGUUGAAGAAGGUCUGCCCUAUCUGUCGCCAGUUCCUACUCAGAGCAAGACGCUGGCUGAAGCUGUAAAACAAAAGAAUAACUUCGAGAAUGAAUUCUACAAACCCGUGAAGGUGAUGCUGAGAAAAUCCCGUCACACGUUGAAAGAAGUGCGCCAAUAUCAGCGCUCACUGCGCACGCCCAAUGGCAGCCUCGAUCUCAUGGCUGAUAACUUAACUCAAUUGAUGGAAAACAUUACGAAAAAGUCGGAACUGAGAUUGAAACAUUAUACUAGCGAAAAAGAUUUUAUGCACGUAUUCCGCAAGGCAGAAAGUUGGUACGAGAAAGCUAGUGAUCUCUGCCCAAUGAAUCCUCUCCCAAUGAUCACACAAGAAAAUACUCAUCUUUCCACAUCGAGAAUUGUUGAUCCAAAGAUUGCAAACUUUCUGGAAAAGUAUCCUCCACUGACCCGAGAGGAAUUCGGUAAAUUGCUGGAAUAUGUGGAGCAAAUCGACGACCUGGAACUUCGUAACCGUGUUCGGUUGCUAGGUAACCGUUGCCAAGAAAUGGAAAAAAUGUUAAAUGCUCACCAGUCGCAACAUGGUGAUUUUAGCGACGAAGAGGAGAGCUUAGACCUGGAAUCGUCUAGUGGUCAAAAACGACCAUCGUCCGGUCGAAACUCGUCGCUUCAACGUUCCACGCAGAAGGACAACAAUAAAUUACCUUUACAUUCAACAAUUUCCACAGAUUUUUCAACAAAACGCUGGCAUGAUGACGUCAUGAGCUCGACUACCGUCUCGAAUGAUGACAUCGUUAACUCAAGGUCUGGGACGGAGGAUUUUGGGACUGGGAUGGAUAAUUCACGCUUGGCUGAUAUUCAGAGAAGGCUUCGUGAUCAGGAGUUACUGUAUGAACAGUUAAUACUGGAACAGGAAAUCAGAGAGCUCGCCGAGGAAAAAUCGAGUCCUAACAAACCAGAGGUUUCCCUUAGUUCUAGUUAUGAGAGAGCUGGAAGCCCUCGUGCCACUAAGAGAGCUGUUGUAGAUUUUGACGACAAAGGAAAGAUUAGUAGAACUUCAUUACGAAAUGAGGAUGUGCCAUUUACAUCCAGUUUAAACCGGAAUGCCGAGAUAGGAAGUCUAGGCACUGUCGUUAAUGAUUAUCAUACCGGUAAGGCAUUUAGGAAUAGGCGUUCUGAGUCGCUGCAAAGAAAAUCUAGGAAAGGAAAACAUAGAUCAAUUGCUUCUGAUUUGAACGUAAGCCGCAGUGCUGUGAUUGAAAACAUAGACCCCAUUCUUAACGGUAAUGUUUCUGCAAUUGGUGGCAUAAACCAACCUAGAAAUAUAGGCGCUGAUCAAACAAAACUGGAAUUUGGUUUGCUCCCAGUUGAUACUGAACUAUCAGACAAAGAAAAUCGUGGUAAUUUAACAACCUCAACGCGAAGAGAGAAUCAGGGAGAAAUAAAUUUGCUUUCACCUAUCGAUUUGUUGGAUGGGUGCAAUAGUUUAAAACGUCUGUGCAACCUUGAAAUCCCUUCUCCCCAAAAUAAUACCUUCACAACAUUCGAGAAGUAUUAUAGUCCGGGUGAAUCAGUAUCUACGAGUAAUUCUAGCUUAAUACCACCAGAUGGCAACGUUAACACCUCCCCAGUAGUGUCAUCUGAAUCAAGAAACCGAUCAGAUGAUCCUGAAGAUUGUGUAAACAAUUCGGAAAAUUCACGUGAUGUCGAGUUUCAUUCACAUGAAGUGGAGGUAUUUGAACCUGAUUCUGGAAGUCAUUCUGGUCUACUUGACUAUGAAUUUGAAGAAGUUGAAAAUUCAUCAACUAAAGCUGCUGAUAUGUGCAUAGCACAAGAUUCUGAAAACAGUUCACAUGGUCGUUUACGUGAUCCAGAAAAUAGUUCACGUGAUGUUGAGUGUUAUUCUAGUGAUUCGAGAACUUCAUCACGUGAAGUGGAAAAUGUAUCCAAUGACAGUUCACGUGAAGAACUUCUGAAGGCUGCUAGUGAAGCAGCUAACCACUGGACAAAUAUAAAGAAUAAACAUCGAGCGCGCUUGACGCAAAUCGUCGAUAAUAUUUCGACAAGAAAAGAAAUAGAAAAGGCAUAUUUUAAUGCGCAAAUACAACUUUGCCGGGCGAGACAGAGUAUUGUCACGUUAAAUGAAUCAGGCGGUCAUGCGGAACUUUCUUCAGAAAAUGUUGUAAAUGGCAAUAUGGCAUCAUCGUUUAACAUCUCUUUAAAAAUCCCCGACAGCGAGGAUAAAACGUUCGAUGGUAAUGGAGCAUUCCGAAAAUAUAUCAGGGAUUUUAGUGACGAUAAAACAAACACGAAUUGGCAGGAGAAUGCAAAGGAUACAUUGCUGGGUACGAAGAAGGAAGAGGGUGAGAUUGGGGUUGAAGGAAACACUAAAACUGAUGCUGGACAUGAUACAGGUGAACCAUUUGAGUCAAAGGAUACCUCUGAGGAAUUCACUGCUUCGCAAAAUCUUCAAGGUGACGGAGUGUUGCAAGAGAAUUGUAAAGAAUUUGAUUCCGAGCUGGAGGCUAGUGAUGAGUUUGAUGAUAACGUAGAUGAAGAGGAGUUGAUGUUGUUAUGCAGUCAGUCGUCCAGCGGUAUGUUGAAUCAAGAAGAACUGAAAGAAAGUUUGCGUGAAGAGCAGGCAAGACUCGAGGAUAAGUUCCGGCAGCAAAAAGAGCAAUUGCGACUCGAACGAGAAAAACUAAUUGAAGGUGAUAAGAAUAUUCACGAACAGGAAAGUAAGAACUUAGAAAUAGGAGAAAUAGAAAACCAGGAGCUUUUACAAAAUAUUGAGAGCAUUGGCAGUUAUCCUUUAGGCAAGUUUAGUAAAGGCACAAAGAUUGAUUUUCAUCGAGGAAAUAUGCCAAUGGAACUCAAUCUACCUCAACCAAACACAGAUAGCUAUGAUUCGCCGGAGCGUGAGGAACUGCGUUCACAUUGCGCAAUACCAUCACCUGUUCACGAGGCACCGUCACCGCGCUACGAGAUUCCCUCUUUAAAUUCCGAAUUUCCUUCACCACCACACGAAACACUCACUGAACGGAACGAAAUGUCUUUCCCACAGCGCGAAACAUUCCCAACACAGCACGAAAUAGCUUCAUCACAUCAUGUAAUACCUUCACUCCACCCCGAGAUACCUUCACUGCAGGACGAAAUGACAGCUCCCAACGAAGAACUUUUGCCACAACAUGAACCAUACACACCACAAGGUUUAAGGAGUUUUUCUCAACAUGAAACGAAGACAGCAGAGAUUACGCCAUUUAACCAGGAAAACACAUCUCCAAUAAAACCAAUCGAUCACACAGAUGUCAGGGUUGACGGUGGCGUGAGCGACAUUAGUGAAAUUAUUGUAAGCAACUCAGAUGAUAACAGGAGAUGUAAAAUCGAAGAAGAAUUGAUAAGCAUUUUGCAAGAAAGACCACCGGAGGUAGAGCACGAAAAAUUGGAAGUAGCAGGACCAAGGGUUCCUCCUUUAGGUAUGGGUCAUUAUCCUCCUGCCAUUUUAGAUCAUAAUGAUGAUGACAUUGAUGAAAUGAAUCAGCUUAUCGAUGAUCUAAUGAUAAGUGAUCUGAAUAGAGAUAAUCAAAGUGAUUAUGAUGAGGUAGAUGUGGAUAGAUUUCAAGUAAAAGGGGCUAAAAAUCCGGUGAAUAAUCGUAACUGUGAGGAUGGUGAUGUGAACGAAGGUGGUUUUUCGGUGGAUUUGGAUAAUAUUGGAGUGAAUUUUGGCGAUGAUGAAGAGAAUAAAAUGUUCGAAAUGGAUAAUGGUGGAAGAUGUGUGGAUGAUGACAGAGUUAGUGAAGACGAUGUAGAUGUAUAUCUUGAUGAUGUUGGGAGUGGCUUACCUGGCGAUAAGGAGGUAAAUGAGGGUGAUGUCGAGAUAACUGUUGAUAGUUGUGACGUAAAUGUGGAUGAUGGUAGAGAAAAUAAACUAAAGUUCGAUUUACCUCAGUCAGGAUUAAAUAAUCUUGAAAUCCGUAUGGAUAAUCAUCCGGCAAAUAAUGAUAACCAAGAGUUAAAGAUCGGGAAUUAUUUAGUAGACUUGGACAUUGAGGAUGAUGUUGAAACAAAAUGGGAUAAUUGCAAAGUUAGCCUCGAUGAUCUUGAAGAAAACAAGAACGAAAGAAUUUCAGAUGUUGCUCAAACUGGUAGUCACCUUGAACGUACAGGGGUCCCGUUUGGUGAUAGAAUGUCUGCAGAGGGCAAGGAUUCUCGAGAUGAAAGUUUGGGGAUUGAUGUUGAAUUCUCCAUAGAUCUGAACAAGCAUAGCGAAGCCGUUCUCGCGAAUGACCUGAUAGGAUUACUGCAUAAUCAGAAAGAUGAAUUCUCUAGUCAAGAAAGCCUUGAAGUCGAGGAGGAGCAUGAUUUGGAGAAUAAUUUUGUAGUAGCAUGCAACAAUGAAGUCAAUCAUAAAAUAAUCGAGAUCGAAAAUUCCAAAGAAGAAGGCAUUUUGGAAAAGAAAAUGAGCCUUGAUAAGCACGAGAUGAAACACAAACCUGAAGAAACAACAAGCAACGUUAGCGAGAAACAUUCCAGCACAGAUGACGAAAAUGGCAUUCCUGAGGGACACCAAUUUAUGUCUGACGAUAGUGAGGAUGAUGACGAUUUUUGCAGGGUGUUGGAGGAUAUCAAGGAAGAAGAGAGUGAAUACGAGGAUUUGAUGAGAUACAAAGCUACACAUGUUGAUAGCAAUGAUAACAAGGUUCAAGAACAGUCAAAUAUUUUUGUUCCCAGUCCUUCUGUUCUCCGGACCGCGCGUUUUGAUGACGAUAACAUGGAUGCAGAGGAUAGCGCUGCUAAUAAGCUCCUUCUCGUCUUCCGUAAUUAUCGAUCCUGGAACAGGGUAUUGCAAGGCGGGAUUCUCUGUUGACGAUAAACCAAGAGUCGUCAUUCCUUCCGUUGUAGGGAUGCCAAAAUCAGAGGUCCAACAUUCUGGACGUUACAAAGAUUAUUAUGUCGGUGAAGAAGCAAAGCAUUUACAUCGAGUAUUAAAUUUACAUCGCCCUUUAA